GACGAACGCUGGCGGCGUGCCUAAUACAUGCAAGUCGAACGCUUCUUUCCUCCCGAGUGCUUGCACUCAAUUGGAAAGAGGAGUGGCGGACGGGUGAGUAACACGUGGGUAACCUACCCAUCAGAGGGGGAUAACACUUUGAAACAGGUGCUAAUACCGCAUAACAGUUUAUGCCGCAUGGCAUAAGAGUGAAAGGCGCUUUCGGGUGUCGCUGAUGGGUGGACCCGCGGUGCAUUAGCUAGUUGGUGAGGUAACGGCUCACCAAGGCCACGAUGCAUAGCCGACGUGAGAGGGUGAUCGGCCACACUGGGACUGAGACACGGCCCAGACUCCUACGGGAGGCAGCAGUAGGGAAUCUUCGGCAAUGGACGAAAGUCUGACCGAGCAACGCCGCGUGAGUGAAGAAGGUUUUCGGAUCGUAAAACUCUGUUGUUAGAGAAGAACAAGGACGUUAGUAACUGAACGUCCCCUGACGGUACCUAACCAGAAAGCCACGGCUAACUACGUG
rnacentral:rRNA from 1 species